rnacentral:rRNA from 1 species
GACGAACGCUGGCGGCGCGCCUAACACAUGCAAGUCGAGCGAAUGAAGUUCCUUCGGGAACGGAUUUAGCGGCGGACGGGUGAGUAACACGUGGGCAACCUGCCUCAUAGAGAGGAAUAGCCUUCCGAAAGGGAGAUUAAUACCGCAUAAGAUAGUAGUACCGCAUGGUACAGCAAUUAAAGGAGCAAUCCGCUAUGAGAUGGGCCCGCGGCGCAUUAGCUAGUUGGUGAGGUAACGGCUCACCAAGGCGACGAUGCGUAGCCGACCUGAGAGGGUGCUCGGCCACAUGGGGAGUGAGACACGGCCCAGACGCCUAGGGGGGGCAGCGGUGGGGAAUAUUGCACAAUGGGGGAAACCCUGAUGCAGCAACGCCGGGUGGGUGAUGACGGCCUUCGGGUUGUAAAGCUCUGUCUUCAGGGACGAUAAUGACGGUACCUGAGGAGGAAGCCACGGCUAACUACGUGCCAGCCGCCGCGGUAA